GCUUGCCGGGGAAAGGUGCAGGGCGCAGGCAGCCGGGCUGGUGCCCGGGAAGCCGCUGCCCUGUCCGCUCUGCGCCGGCGGGGAGGCAGCCCCGGGGACGGGGACACCGCGGGGUGCGGGGGUGUCUGUGUGUAACCGGGGACGCCCAUCCCUCUGCCCUCGCUCCGUGAGUGACUCCGGGCCACUUCCACGCGAGGGGAUGCGCGGGGCUGGGCAGCGCCGCUGCGAGUUUGGCCCGGGUCGGUCCCGGUCCCCGCCCGACUCCGGGGCGAGAGGAGGCCAGCGCUCAACAACACAGAGGAGGCUCAGACAUGAUGGGAAGAUUAAUUUAACCAAUUGAAACAGCAGGGGGAAUUCAGAGCAUCAUGUGGUGUGAUCAAAGUCUGCUGGCACAGCUUGGACAGCUCUAAUAGUGCAGUAGCCACUUGCAUGAAUGUAAUACCUCCCAGAAAAGGACUGCAAUAUGUUUUCAGAAAUCCAGCUCUGCUAAUUUUGACCUUGCCACUGCCAGUGGGAGCAGCAUCAGAGGGGCCAGGGCUCAGCUGGCAGCCCAGCUUGCCAGGCCAGACACGGAGCGCCAGCCUCACCUCCCAUGAUCUCCACUCGAAGCAUGAAGCAAACAAAGCUCUCAAAGCUGAUCUCUUUCAUGAGCAAGAAGAUGAGACUUGCCAAAACAUGCUGUGGGCUCACCUGUCUCCUGUACAGCUGCAUGCAGCUCCACAAGGUCAAGCUUUCCUGAUGUGUUGGUGUCUCUCUUCUGGAAAACUUCCUGUGGGCAUGUCCCAUCUUCAUUCUCUGCUUUUCUGGCCCUACUCCAGCCACUGUGAAAAUCAAUAGAAGAGACUCCCUUUGAAUAUGACAAGAUUCUGAGCCUGCAAGAGCUGCAGUGUGCUCUGGGCUAAGUUCUCAGGGCUCCACACAGAUCAAUGCAGUAGUGCAGAUUUCCACUGAGUGAGGAUGCAGACCGUUAACCUUUCAGCCCUGCUGCCAUCUGUCCCACCAAGCACACUGUCAAGAGACCUGCUUUAAACAUUCCCCUUUUAUCAUUUACAAACAAAAAAAAAAGAAGGAAACUUUGGAACACUUCUCCCCAAACUUUUCAAAGCAGAGACUCCCCCUCCCGCUUGUCAUAAUAAAGUUUACAGAUCUUUUGGAAGCUGCGA